rnacentral:rRNA from 1 species
GACGAACGCUGGCGGCGUGCUUAACACAUGCAAGUCGAACGAAGUGGCGAACGGGUGAGUAACGCGUAAUCAACCUGCCCUUCAGAGGGGGACAACAGUUGGAAACGACUGCUAAUACCGCAUACUGAAGGAGGGGCUUGCGUCUGAUUAGCUAGUUGGAGGGGUAACGGCCCACCAAGGCCAUGAUCCGUAGGCGGUCUGAGGAGGAUGAUGGGCACAAUGGGACCUAGGAAACGCCCCGGAUGCUAACGGGAGCAGGAAGUGGGAAUCUUCCGGAAAGGACGAAAGUCUGACGGAGCAACGCCGCGUGAGUGAUGACGGCCUUCGGGUUGUAAAGCUCUGUUAAUCGGGGCGCGGUACCGGAAUAGAAAGCCACGGCUAACUACGUGCCAGCAGCCGCGGUAAUAC